rnacentral:rRNA from 1 species
UACGUAGGGGGCAAGCGUUGUCCGGAAUUACUGGGCGUAAAGAGCGUGUAGGCGGGUGAUUAAGUCAGAUGUGAAAACCCAAGGCUCAACCUUGGGAGUGCAUCUGAAACUGGUUACCUUGAGGACAGGAGAGGAAAGUGGAAUUCCUAGUGUAGCGGUGAAAUGCGUAGAUAUUAGGAGGAACACCAGUGGCGAAGGCGGCUUUCUGGCCUGUAACUGACGCUGAGACGCGAAAGCGUGGGGAG